rnacentral:rRNA from 1 species
UACGUAGGGUGCGAGCGUUAAUCGGAAUUACUGGGCGUAAAGCGUGCGCAGGCGGUUCGUGAUGUCUGGUGUGAAAGCCCCGGGCUUAACCUGGGAAUUGCAUUGGAAACUAGCGGGCUGGAGUGUGGCAGAGGGGGGUGGAAUUCCACGUGUAGCAGUGAAAUGCGUAGAGAUGUGGAGGAACACCGAUGGCGAAGGCAGCCCCCUGGGCUGAGAUUGACGCUCAGGCACGAAAGCGUGGGGAGCAAACAGG